rnacentral:lncRNA from 1 species
GAGGCCUCAGCCCUGCAAUUCAGGUUCACCGGUGGGGCUUUGUGCUCUGUUGACUGCGAGCGUUUGUUAGUAGCCAUGUAGGCCAUAAAUUAAUGGGUUUUCUGGGCUUAUUUAUUUAUUUAUUUACUUGUUUAUUUAUAGACAGGGGCUCUCUAUGUAGCCCAGGCGUGGCCAGGAACUUACUAUGUAGACCAGGCUGCCCUUGAAUUCAGAUAUCUAUCUAGCUACAUCUGCCCCUCAGGUUUAAAGGCACAUGUGUGUGUGUGUUUUUAGAAGAGCAGGACGAAGAACAUGGCUGCUGCCCACUGUCCCCAGAGGACUGGCAGGGUUGUCUUGAUAUGUAUAUGUAUGUGGGCACACAGGGGGAUGUCAUGCUAGGGUCAAUGUUAAGGGAGAUACUCAUCACAGAACCUAUGCCAGGCAGAAUCAGAGUUACCUGAUGUAUGGAGCGUGCUUCGCACCCGAUUUCCUAGAUGACAAAGCACAGAGGCACAGAUUAAGACAAUGUCGCCGAUCAAGAUGUGAGCUCUCAGCUUUUCCAGCCACCGUGUCUUUGCUCUGCAAUCAUGAACUCUCUGGAACUGGAAGCCCCAAACCACAUGCUUUCUUUUAAGUUGUCUCAGCCAUGGGGUUUUAUCACGGCAAUAGAACAGAAGCUAAGACAGACCCCGUGGUCUUUUAUGUGCUAGGGAAGUGCUCUCCCAUUGGCCACACAGCCCCAGGCCAGUGACAUCAUUCUUCAUGAGUUUUCUUGAGACAAAUGUUGACUGAAUCAUCAACUAAGGGAACCUUUUCUGUGGUAAGCCAGGUCUUCUGGCACAGUGAUAACUAUUUCAUAAAUACAUAAUAUCUUGUCAUAACUAGAUUGCAAAUGGAGUCCACAGCACAUCUGUGUCAAAUGAGGAAAACCUUGCAAAUAUUAACUCAUAUAAUCAGUUUUCAAGAUUCAUUAUGGUGGUACAACCCAGUCAUCCCAGGACAGGCUCCAUACCAGCCUUUAGAGUAAGACUCUGGUAAAGAAAAAGCUUCACAACAAGUUCAGAUGGCUGUGUGUGGUGGUACAUGCCUGUAAUCUCAGCACCCAGCAAGACUGUUGCAGGUUCAAGGCCAGCCUAGUCUACACGGCAAGCCCUGUCUUGAAGGGGGUUACGGGAAAGAGAGAUGGACAAGGAGAGAAAACCAGUCUUCUUCAUUACCUAUUUCUGCAUAAUUUAUUAUUUAAUUUUGUUAUUGAUAAUAAAGGAUGCCAAAAAAUGGAGACUUUAGUAAGGUUGAAUUAGUAUGUAUGUAUAUAUGUAUAAAUAUUUAUUUACUUUUAAAAAAACAUCAUUUGCUAUAUAUAAAGUUACUUAUAAGUACACUUCUAUAAAUAUGCCAUAAUA